rnacentral:rRNA from 1 species
AAAAAACCGAGACAAUCAAAGAGAACAGAUUGUAGAGCGACCGAGAAGAGAAUUCUUGGGUAAGGUCAAGUAGAAAAGGGCGCACGGUGAAUGCCUAGGCACUAACAGCCGAUGAAGGACGUGACGAACUACGAAAAGCUUCGGGGAGCGGUAAGUACGCAGUGAUCCGGAGAUGUCCGAAUGGGGGAACCCAAUGCAGCGAUGCAUUAUUGGUUGAUGAAUAGAUAGUCAAUCAAAGGAAGACGCAGUGAACUGAAACAUCUAAGUAGCUGCAGGAAGAGAAAGAAAAAUCGAUUUCCUUAGUAGCGGCGAGCGAAGAGGAAAGAGCCCAAACCAAGUGAUUUAUCAUUUGGGGUUGUAGGACUGCAAAGUGGUAGCGUAAGCGAUAGUUGAAUUAUCUGGGAAGGUAAGCCAGAGAGGGUGAGAGCCCCGUAAGCGAAAUUGCGAGCGCGCCUAGCAGAAUCCUGAGUAGGCCGGGACACGAGGAAUCCCGGUUGAAGCCGCGAGGACCAUCUCGCAAGGCUAAAUACUAGUUAGUGACCGAUAGUGAACCAGUACCGUGAGGGAAAGGUGAAAAGAACCCCGGAAGGGGAGUGAAAGAGAACCUGAAACCGUGUGUCUACAAGUAGUCAAAGCACAUUAAAGUGCGAUGGCUUGCCUUUUGUAAAAUGAACCGGCGAGUUACGUUAUCUAGCGAGGUUAAGUCAGAAAAGACGGAGCCGGAGCGAAAGCGAGUCUGAAUAGGGCGAAAAAGUAGGUGACGUAAACCCGAAACAAAGUGACCUUCCCAUUGGGCAAGCUUGAAGGUGUGGAAAAAACGCACUUGGAUGGGCCGAACCCAACGUAAAGUUAAAAAAUUGGCGGUGGAUUGAACUUUGUGGUUAUGCGGUGAAAAUUUCAAAAACCAAACUUGGGAAAUAAAGCUUGUUUCUUUUCCCAAAAUAAGCUCUUUAGGGCUUUACCCUUGUGGGAGAAGGGAAUAUGUGGAGGGUUGAAGUCUUUUUCUGGAACUAAGGGGCCCCCCUCGGGGGGUUAUUUUGAUUCCAAAAUAAACUGUGGGAAUUUCUUUUUUUCCCUCCCCGGGGAGUCAAACCUUGGAAGGGAUAAAACAACCUGUGUCAGAAAGGGGAAACACCUCCAUAUAACCAAUUUUGGGGCCCAAAUUUUUUUUACCCUCCCCACACGUGUGGAAUCGAUAGAGAUAUACCGGGAUAACCACACACCGGGGUGAAAAAGUGUCCGCGGGGCCUAUUGAAACCACCGGCCCUGUUCUCCACCAUGGAGAUGUUUCAAAAUGCACCAAAAGCCGGGGGGCCUAACCUUUGGGGAAAGAACCCGUUUUUAAGCCAAGGGCAUAAUAUUUGGGGGUGAAUUUUGUACCAAGGAACCCGUAAGGAAACCUUCGGGUUGGGAUCCCUCCUUUCAAAGGAAACGAAGGAAAGGAGAGGUGAAAUUUAAGAGAGGUUCCUGAGCAGCGGAAGCCACUAAGAACUUUGUUUAGUUUGAGGGAAGUACUCAAAAGAGUUAGUCAUUGAAACUGAAUAUAAUCCAGCAAAAACCGAGACAAUCAAAGAGACCAGAUUGUAGAGCGCCCGAGAAGAGAAUUCUUGGGUAAGGUCAAGUAGAAAAGGGCGCACGGUGAAUGCCUAGGCACUAACAGCCGAUGAAGGACGUGACGAACUACGAAAAGCUUCGGGGAGCGGUAAGUACGCAGUGAUCCGGAGAUGUCCGAAUGGGGGAACCCAAUGCAGCGAUGCAUUAUUGGUUGAUGAAUAGAUAGUCAAUCAAAGGAAGACGCAGUGAACUGAAACAUCUAAG